rnacentral:rRNA from 1 species
UACAGAGGGUGCAAGCGUUAAUCGGAAUUACUGGGCGUAAAGGGAGCGUAGGUGGCUCGAUAAGUCAGAUGUGAAAUCCCCGGGCUCAACCUGGGAACUGCAUCUGAUACUGUUGAGCUAGAGUAUGUGAGAGGAAGGUAGAAUUCCAGGUGUAGCGGUGAAAUGCGUAGAGAUCUGGAGGAAUACCGAUGGCGAAGGCAGCCUUCUGGCAUAAUACUGACACUGAGGCUCGAAAGCGUGGGUAGCAAACGGG